UGUCCACAACUGGCCUUCUGGUUAACAUGGACGGUUCUUUUCUUUUUCUCUUCUGUUUCCCCUUUCUCUGUCUCCCCUCCUUAUCUUCUCCUGGGAUAAUGCUCAAAGAGGACAGGGGCUGGGGUGUGCCUUGGGGCGUGCAGUCACUGGGAAUGCUGUACUCUCUGUCUCCUCCAGCCGCACACCUCUCAAGUGGGCUUCUCAUCUCCAGGAGGCUGUGGGGUCCUCUCGGGAGGCUGGGGCUGCAUCUGGUAUUUCUCUUCAGCCCGCAUGAGCUGGGCCCCCAUGGUCCUCACCAGGUUGCCAGCUUCCAGGCCAGUGGUGGCUCCACUAGGCCACGGGUUUGAGGAGGAGUGAGAACACAUCCUGCGCGCAGCACUCGCCCACUGUCGGACCCCCGCUGUGUGCCACCUCCCGCUGCCUCCUGCUGCAGGGCAAGGUGGCUCUGAGGACUGACCCAGGACAGGGCCCGCCACGCUCCAGUGAGAAGCCAAUCACGCACUUCCCGAUGACCACUUUGCGAGGAGACAAUGGAUCGUUUCCUCUCUGUAAUUUUCUGCAUGGAGGUCUCCCUGUUGUCCCCUGGCCACAUCCUUACACACCUACAAGGUGUCUGCUGUGGGGCAGCUACUGUAGCAGGCAUGAGGACUACAGAGAGAAAAAUAAGUACUCUAUGCGCUGAAAAUGCUUAGAGUCCCAGCCAGGGACACACCCAAAGAGGAGCAGCUUUAGUUCAAAGCAUGUGGAUGCCGGGUAGAGGCCUCUUUGUGCCAAUUUUAGUUUGAUUUAGCACGGGACUCAUGGCUUUAUAGAAGGAGGAAGACAGACCUGAGCUGAUGUGCAUACUCUUGAUCUCUUACUAUGUAAUGCCUUCCACCAUGACACAGCAAGAAGGUCCUCACAGGAUGCCUGCCCUUUGAUCGUGGACUUCCCAGCCUCCAGAACCAUGAGAAAUAAACACAUUUUCUUGAUAAAUUUACUAAUUUUCUGGCAUUCUGUUAUAGCAACAGAAAAUGGACUAAGACACCAAUCUAGCCUCAGAAGUCACAUAGGAUUCUUCUGGCACAUUCUAUUCAUUGAAGUAGUCACAGAGUCCUGCCCAGGUUCAAGGGAGUCAAAAUGGACUCCAUGUCACAAUGGGAAGUGGUGAUCAUCUGGAAGAGCAUGUGGGCCCAUUUUCUGGGAUAUCUUCUCUGUCACAUUCCCCUUCCUGGGUCUCUGCCAUAUGUCUGGCACAGAUGAAGAAAUUCAGGUUUAGAGAGGAUAAGCAGUUUAUUUACCUAACUCCUCAAAAGUUACCGAGCCCAGGUCUGUCUGGCUUACAAAGUCCUCCCUGCCUCAUCCUGGGACGUUUCUUUAACUGCAUGUAAACCAUGCUUUGGGUGCCUCCAUUAUCCUCAUGUCUUUAGGGAGUUCCCUGUUCUUUGAUGAGAGAAACACAGAUACAUUCUGGUAGAGUCUAGAAGACAUGAAACUUGGGGUCCGGGCUUCCUUCUCCAGCUGGGCUCAGCUGUUGCUUAAGGUGGGAGGCAGCAACAGUGAUGCUGGAUGUGACACAUUUAUUAACUCACCAUGACAGUGAUGAGCUGGUAAUUAAGGC
rnacentral:lncRNA from 1 species